CCUAACUUUUAACCUAAUCUCUUCUCCAUACUACAAACAAACCCUAGCCCCCAUUCCCUUGCUCAUUCUUUGAAAAAUGAAGCUGCAAUCAUCAUCCAAAGGUCGAUGUCCGAUAAGCUCCUUUAGUUCAUUUGAUUUCAGUUUUAACAUUUGACGGCACUUCCGUAAUUUUGAUCGUUCUCCUUCGUUUCUAGAUCGAAAUCAAAACCGUUUUGUCCUUGAGAUAAUAGACUCGGUUCUCUAUGACUUUGCUCUUUAGUUUCAUUGAACGAUCGAAAUCAGAUCCGUCUCGUCCCCGUGAGAGUAGACUCACGCCUCUACGUUUCUCAUCUUUGUUUUCGUAUAACGACCCGUCGACUGCUCGUGCUUCGGAGUCUACGCAGGGUUAGCUGGUUGCCAAGAUUCACGUGGAUUAGCAAGCAGUUUAUGAUUUGAAAGCUGGUCCACUCCGAUUAUUUUAUUCUUCGGAGGUUUUUAUGUUAUUUAAACUAGUUACUGUUUUCGAACUCUUAGACCGCAGUAGAACUAGUUUAUGUAUCACAGUUGUUAUUACACUUUGGAUCAUCAGUUUGCUCGAUUAUUUAUUGUUGGCAUGUUCA